rnacentral:rRNA from 1 species
UAGUACGGCGAGUGAAGCGGGAAGAGCUCAAGCUUAAAAUCUCCGUGCAAGUUUUGCGCGGCGAAUUGUAGUCUAUAGAGGCGUGGUCAGCGUGGGCGCUUGGGGCAAGUUCCUUGGAAGAGGACAGCAUGGAGGGUGAUACUCCCGUUCAUCCCUGAGUGGCUCGUGCGUACGACCCGUUUUCUUUGAGUCGCGUUGUUUGGGAAUGCAGCGCAAAGUAGGUGGUAAAUUCCAUCUAAAGCUAAAUAUUGGUGCGAGACCGAUAGCGAACAAGUACCGUGAGGGAAAGAUGAAAAGAACUUUGAAAAGAGAGUUAAAGAGUACCUGAAACUGCUGAAAGGGAACCGAAUCGUUUCCAGUGUCUAUAAUCCGUGGCAUAUUUCAUUGGCGAGCGUUUGCGUGCGUGUGCUGUGGCAGUGGCUUUUUUGGCUGCGCCUGGCGUGUGUGCUGUGAGUGUUUGCUGGUGCCCUGUGCUGCGGUGGGACGUCAAGGUCAGUUCGUAUGCUGCGGGAAAUGGCUGCCGAGGAGGUAGGGCUUACGCUCCGCGUUUGUCUGUUAUAUCUUGGUGGACGAGUCGUCGUGGUUGGGACUGAGGUGCCUACAACGUGCUUUUGAGUGGGUUUGUGUCUCCGUGUGCGCCGUGUGCGGAUAGCUUGCUAUGCGUGUGUGGUUGUGUGUGGAUUGAUGCGGGCUUUAACUUGUCGCCGUUC